CAUCGACUACCAAACGCCCGGGAAGCUCUCUCUUUCCAGGGACGCCAAGCGCUCUUCUUCAGCGUUUUCCCGUUUGGAUAUGGUUAUUUUAAUCCCAAGGAAGCCCUAUGGCUGCCUUUAUGGGGAUUACUCCCAAGGAAGCGUGCAAGAGCCCUGCAGCCGAAUUUCACUUCUCUAGAACCCGGAGGGCGCCAGGACUUCCUCUGCACCGUCGCCUCGUUGCAGCCGCUGAAGAAAGCGGCGGACUUUGCCCGGAAGCCGCCCGGCGACCGCCCAGAGCGAAGCGCCUUGCGAGCCCCGACAAGAAGCGCCUCAUUUCAUUCCCUCGCCCUCCCCGGCCGGCCUUGGAGGAGGGAGGAGCGCCCUCGAGGCAGGGCAGCCGAGACGCACCUCAGCUCGCCUUGGAGGAAAGCCAUGCGUAGCGAGCGAGACCAGCCUGAGCCGACGGCGCAUGCGCGCGCCCUUUCGUCGCCCGGGGCCCUAGCGCAAAAAGAUAUCCCGGUCGGACUUGGCAGACGCUUGGUGCGGAAAGCAACCAAUCACGAUUCGCGUGUUCCAAAGAUGAAAAUCAUAAUCAUAACAGGAAAGUUUAAGGCGGAAGGACGGAAAGAAGGAAGGAAGAGAGGCAGAAUUCAUUCAAUUCAACAAGGAUCAUGUUUGGGGAUGUGUGUGUGCUGCUGCUGCUGCCCUCUGCCCACCAGUUCCUAGAGGCAAACAANCAGGGCUGUCAUAUGGAAUAGUUGUAAGGGCCCAGUCACACCUUUGUUUUAAUGCAGCUUUGGGCCACUUUCAGACUGAGCUUGUAUUCAGACAUAACAAAAGGGGUGACUUGGAGGUGCAUCAUAGAGACAGUGUGUGGCACUUGAGUUCCCAAGCCUUCUCUAAUCCACCUUUUCUAGCAUAGAACAUUCAUGAGAAAGGGAAGGGCAGACAGGUGUGUGAACUAUCCCACCUAACAGCUUUUUUUGUGUGUGUGUGUCUGAUCACAGAGUGAGAGAACACGUCAGUGAAGUAAUAAGAUGUUUUCUUUUGGCAUUAUCUUAGAAAAUCCACUUUUGGGUUAGCUAAUGUGGAAAGAAAAUGAUGGCUGCAGUCACAUUUCAAGAAAGUAGUCUGUGUUAUAUGCAGUUGGAAUUCAAACCGUCCCAGCCCUGCUCACACCCAGCACCUGAAAAUUCGUUCUCCAUUUAAUCUUCACUGCUCACACCUUCCUUUCCCCGUUCUUAGUUGCCUGAAACGGUACCUUUUGUGUUGUGACCCCUUUCCACCGUUGUGCCCCUCCCUUCGCUCUAAUAGGAUAAUUGCUUGUCAAUCAAGUUUCUGAAUGCAGGGGGUGGGGGCAGAGANGUACCUAUCCCCUGCGUCCACCUCCCUGCUGACCCUUCCUUGCUAAGCAGGUCCUGGUCAGCUGGACUCUGCCUGGCUGGCGAGAAAGUGCAGUGGCUUUUUUUUAAUUAAAUGGCCGCUUUUGCACAAGUGUGUAAAUGCAGAAUCUCAUCCAUGGAGCAGACGGCGGGGUUUUCUCUGCCAAAAUCGAGGAAAAUCCAGGUAGCAAUUUCAGGUAUGCUGCCCAUACCUGGCCAAAGGGCACUUGAAAUGGACCGCGACCUGGAAGGACUUUCCUACACCCCCUCCCAGGCCCCUGUCUGCCUCCCUGCUGUCCCCUUCCUUUCUUCCUCCUUUCUAGCUGUGCAGACACACACGUGCG
ensembl:lncRNA